rnacentral:lncRNA from 1 species
UCUAGGGCCUUUUUGCCCGAGUAACAGCGCGCGCUCCGGCAGUCCUUCUCGUACCCUCGAGUGGAAAACACCUAACCACAUCUAGUGAUCUGUAUUCUUAAAUAAACGCCAAACUUAUUCUACAAACCAUUGACUAUCGUCUCAUCUCGCUAUCCUUUAUCGAUCCUGGUGAUUUCAACGCUCAACACAAAGCUUGGGGUAGCGAACUUGAGAAUGCACUGGGUAAGACCUUAAGUGACUUUUUGGUAUUCUCCCCACACUUUCGAAAAUGAUGGAUCUGCUACCAGGAUUUUCUGCAGGAAAAGUUGCCCAGACAUAUCAUUAGUUUCAAUUGACCUACAUAGUAAAAUCAACUGGGAGGUGCUAGAGGAUUCAAUGGGAAUCGGCCAUUUUCCUCUUCUUCACUCCAUCCUCUUAGAGGAUAUCUUUCUUACCCACGAUCUAUCCAAGAUACGGAUACUAUGAUUACUCAUACUCCAAAUAUCGACAUAUUAAAUGCAGACAACUGCCUUGAAAAGUAUACUGCACUCAUAAAUUCCAUAUAUGAAGUAGUAUCAUUAUCAGGUGGAAAGGUUUGUGACGCAUCGCCAAAAAACCUAAGAAACGACCCAGAAGUUGUAUUUGGUGGAAUGCGAGGAUUGUUCAUCCUUGGUAGAUGAGAGAAGAGAGGCUCUCAGGAAUUUCAGAAACACGCCCGAUAGCCAAAAUCUAGCUAAUUAUUUCAAAGCCUGCAAAAAUGUCUCUAGAGGUCUAUCAAAAAUCAAAUCUUCAAAGUUUAAAUAAUUUCUAGGCACGUUAAGUCCUUCCAAUUCCCUGCUUAAAAAUGUUCAAUUCGUGAAAAGAUAUAAGAAUAGAUUCUAUAACGAUCUUCCUACUUCCAGGGAUUCUCUUUCCAUUGAUAAAGAGCCAGCUCUUAAAGCUGCUUUUGAUAAAAGUUUCUUCAUCUUACCACUACCAUAAUAUCGAGAUCUUAGUAAAUUAUACUUUCUGCAUAGAUAGUGUCCUCAACGCAGCAAUCCCCCAUGCCGAAGUAAUUUCAUCAAUUGAAAAGGCUAAAAGUAGAUCUGCCCCGGGUUCGGAUGCCAUCUCAUAUGCCUUAAUUAAAAAUUUUCCCGAGAUAACUACCCUCUUGGCUAUUCCAAGAGGAUGAGUGGUUUUGAAAGUAUUUUUGAUUUAAAAAAAAUUCUCUAGAGACAAUGUUAGAAAUCCGCGAAAAUCACUUGCAUGUUAGGACACGGAAAAAUGCGAUAAAUUGAAAACGGCCAGUGCGAUCAUGCAAGGCGUCGAAAAAUACAUCAAAAUAUACAGUUUUCUGAUUUUUUAACCAGAAUUGUGCACCAAAAAUUUCUAUCGGUUGAGAAAUUCAGAUUACGCUCGCGCCCGCAGGCCGCAAUUCAAAUACCAAAUAAUUACCGAGCAUCGCAAAUUUCAAAUAGCCGCCCGCAGUCCGCCGGCCGAGAGAUGGCGCGACGUGGCCCACUCCGCACUCUUGCCGCAGCUCACAGCUGCGUGAGCUGCCACUUUACGUCAGUAGUUAUAUCAACGAAUAUAGACUUCCUAUAGAAGAACGGUUCUGGGUUAAAAUGGGGGGACGAAAGCUUGGGUAACAGGCCGUUAGUUCUGUUACCCAACCGCUCGGCGGCGCCACCUAUGAGUUUCCUACAGCUUGGCGCGCAUAUGAGCACGCACAAGCAGACGAUUCAUCAUUCAUGCAGUAUAUUAUGUAAAAUAUACUUUUUAACAAUAAUGAAAGUAAAUAAAUGACAAGAAAAUGAAUAAUGAGUGUGUAAGGAGGUUUUACAAAAGUAUUGGUUGCGACAACCAUAUUUUUCUGACUAGGAAAAAACCGCGAAAACGCAGCUCCUGUCAGUUUCCCGCUCGAUCCUGCUGUGUAAACAGCGCGAAGAGAGCUUUACCGCAGUCUCUGUGUUUGUUGGUCAUUGUAGUCGACAGUUUACAGAUUUUUUUUGCAACAAAUAGCGAUAAAUAAUAGUAGUGAAUAGGGAAGUACAUCGUUCUAGUUUCGUGAGAUUUUUUUGGAUAGGUUUAUCGUGUUUAGCGAAGAAGAUUUCGUGGUCAGCAUGUCGCCUCCACGUGCACUUUGUGUCUACACCGAUUGUGGAACAUCGAAGGCAAAAAAUCCUGAUUUGACCUUUCACAGAUUUCCCAGUGAUGAGAUACGGUAAAUCUGUUUAUCACGAGUGUUAUUAGAGUAAAUAAAUGUGAAAAUUCAGUAAUCAGAGGUUAUAAUAACGUCCGAAAUUCAUGAAAAUCUUUAUACAUUAGUAAAAGUUUCAGAUGUAGAUAAAUUAAAGGAAAAUUGCAGAAAUAAACAAAUAAUUUGAUGAUUAUCAAGGUAAAAAGUCUAUACAAAACAUUUUUAACGAGAAAUUUGGUUUUUUUGUACCAAAAAUAGUGAUGGUUUUGGAUUUCAAUUUUGCAUUUAUUGGUUUUUGGUUUUGAUGAGCAAGUGAUAUUUUAUUUAGAUAUAAUUUAUUCCUUCCUAGGAAGCCUUGUAAUAGUGAUUUUUUGAGUUUGUCUAAAAACGUGUGGGAAGUGUGUUUUGAUGCAUUCUGAGUCGAGAAAUGGUCU